GACGAACGCUGGCGGCGUGCUUAACACAUGCAAGUCGAACGGAAAGGCCUGCUUUCCCUUGUGGAUUGCGGGUACUCGAGUGGCGAACGGGUGAGUAACACGUGAGUGAUCUGCCCCCAACUUGGGUAUAAGCCUGGGAAACUGGGUCUAAUUCCCGAUAGGACUGCAGGGUGGUGCCUGCGGUGGAAAACGAUUUUCUAGUGGUUGGGGAUGAGCUCGCGGCCUAUCAGCUUGUUGGUGGGGUAAUGGCCUACCAAGGCGGCGACGGGUAGCCGGCCUGAGAGGGUGGACGGCCACAUUGGGACUGAGAUACGGCCCAGACUCCUACGGGAGGCAGCAGUGGGGAAUAGUGCACAAUGGGCGGAAGCCUGAUGCAGCGACGCCGCGUGGGGGAUGACGGCCUUCGGGUUGUAAACUCCUUUCGACCGCGAGGAAGCCACCUGGUUGGAAGGGUGGUGACGGUAGUGGUAGAAGAAGCACCGGCUAACUACGUG
rnacentral:rRNA from 1 species